AGCGAACGCUGGCGGCAGGCCUAACACAUGCAAGUCGAACGAACUCUUCGGAGUUAGUGGCGGACGGGUGAGUAACACGUGGGAACGUGCCUUUUGGUUCGGAAUAACUCAGGGAAACUUGUGCUAAUACCGAAUGUGCCCUUCGGGGGAAAGAUUUAUCGCCAUUAGAGCGGCCCGCGUCUGAUUAGCUAGUUGGUGAGGUAACGGCUCACCAAGGCGACGAUUAGUAGCUGGUCUGAGAGGAUGACCAGCCACACUGGGACUGAGACACGGCACAGACUCCUACGGGAGGCAGCAGUGGGGAAUCUUGCGCAAUGGGCGAAAGCCUGACGCAGCCAUGCCGCGUGAAUGAUGAAGGUCUUAGGAUUGUAAAAUUCUUUCACCGGGGACGAUAAUGACGGUACCCGGAGAAGAAGCCCCGGCUAACUUCGUG
rnacentral:rRNA from 1 species